GCCGGAGCGGCGCGCACCUCCUUGGGCGCGGGGCCGGGCAGGUGGCGCGGGGAGCGGCUGUGCCGUGCGCCGGGAGGAGCCGGCGGAAAGACAUCGGGCUUCUCCUUCUCCCCUUCCGCGACUACAGCCGUGCCCAGCUGCGGGCGCGGAGCUGCGGGUCCCGCCGGCGCUGCCGCGGGGCCGCCGGAGACUCGGGCUGGGACUGCUUCUCACUCGUGACAUGGGCUCCUGCCUAUCUCCCGGGUUUGGUCCAUGCUCCUUUUUGUAUCUGGAAGCAGUAGGCACUAAAGCUGGGGCAUCAAGCCUAGUCUGCAGCCCCCUCCUCUCUCUUCUCAAGGCAUUGCCGGGAGGGCACCGGCGCUGCGGUGGGAAGAGCCUGAGUCAUGCCACAGAGCGACCUGGGCGAACAUCGCUGGGUCCCUGACCCCGGCCUCGGGCAAGCAAGCAGCUGCAUCAUGUAAUCCCCUUCCAAAACUGAGUGCACUCUCUUACCAACAAAUUA